AUUUCGAUGAGCAUUUUGACAAGUGCCUCGAUUAUCUGCCACAUUACCGUGCAAGUGCUGAGACUCUAAGAACUGCAUUGGAAUUGGAUCCAGACUCUGCACUUAAGCAAACGCUCCGGAAGCAUAUAAUGAAAAACCUUUUAAAGAAGAUUGAUGAAGGCCACCCUGUGGAAUAUGUAUCCGAAUUCCGUACGGUAACUAUGGUUUUGGUCAGCCUAGAGU